UAUAUUGAAUGGCAUCAUUUAAUAUUGAAAACUCCGGUGGAUAGAGAUGGGCACGCGCAAGAUUAGAUAGUUGGUGAGGUAACGGCUCACCAAGUCAAUGAUCUUUAGGGGGCCUGAGAGGGUGAUCCCCCACACUGGUACUGAGACACGGACCAGACUCCUACGGGAGGCAGCAGUGAGGAAUAUUGGACAAUGGGUGAGAGCCUGAUCCAGCCAUCCCGCGUGAAGGAUGACGGCCCUAUGGGUUGUAAACUUCUUUUGUAUAGGGAUAAACCUUUCCACGUGUGGAAAGCUGAAGGUACUAUACGAAUAAGCACCGGCUAACUCCGUGCCAGCAGCCGCGGUAAUACGGAGGGUGCAAGCGUUAUCCGGAUUUAUUGGGUUUAAAGGGUCCGUAGGCGGACUCGUAAGUCAGUGGUGAAAUCUCAUAGCUUAACUAUGAAACUGCCAUUGAUACUGCGGGUCUUGAGUAAAGUAGAAGUGGCUGGAAUAAGUAGUGUAGCGGUGAAAUGCAUAGAUAUUACUUAGAACACCAAUUGCGAAGGCAGGUCACUAUGUUUUAACUGACGCUGAUGGACGAAAGCGUGGGGAGCGAACAGGAUUUAGAUACCCUGGUAGUCCACGCCGUAAACGAUGCUAACUCGUUUUUGGGUUUUCGGAUUCAGAGACUAAGCGAAAGUGAUAAGUUAGCCACCUGGGGAGUACGUUCGCAAGAAUGAAACUCAAAGGAAUUGACGGGGGCCCGCACAAGCGGUGGAUUAUGUGGUUUAAUUCGAUGAUACGCGAGGAACCUUACCAAGGCUUAAAUGGGAAAUGACAGGUUUAGAAAUAGACUUUUCUUCGGACAUUUUUCAAGGUGCUGCAUGGUUGUCGUCAGCUCGUGCCGUGAGGUGUUAGGUUAAGUCCUGCAACGAGCGCAACCCCUGUCACUAGUUGCCAUCAUUCAGUUGGGGACUCUAGUGAGACUGCCUACGCAAGUAGAGAGGAAGGUGGGGAUGACGUCAAAUCAUCACGGCCCUUACGCCUUGGGCCACACACGUAAUACAAUGGCCAGUACAGAGGGCUGCUACCAGGCGACUGGAUGCUAAUCUCGAAAGCUGGUCUCAGUUCGGAUUGGAGUCUGCAA
rnacentral:rRNA from 1 species